AUGCAACGAAGUUCAAGAAGAAUGAGACUCACACAACUGGCAGGGGUUGACAACCCCCAACUCAAUACAGUUGUCAAUCUACGUACCCCAGGGGUAACUUUUCAUGAUCAGGACUGCUUGGGAGACCGGAACCUUGGAGAAACUAGUGAUGUUGACCCUGAUGAAGAAGCUAGGAUGUUUGCUAGACCAGAUGUUGAUUUUGAAUCCUACCGAGUGGCACGGCAUCAUGGUGAUGGAACUAUCACUAAUGAGCAUCAUGACAGAACUGUGGAGCUUUGCGGUUCCAAUACGAGGGGCCUGCAUUUUGUUGCAGAAAGGGAAAAGUUGAUGUAUUUACUACAGAGGUUGAUGAAGAGUUGA
rnacentral:rRNA from 1 species